rnacentral:piRNA from 1 species
UACAUCAUGAGCCUCACACAAGUGCCC